rnacentral:rRNA from 1 species
CAACAGGGAUUGCCUCAGUAACGGCGAGUGAAGCGGCAAGAGCUCAAAUUUGAAAUCUGGCCCCCUCGGGGUCCGAGUUGUAAUUUGCAGAGGAUGCUUCGGGUGCGGUCCCCAUCUAAGUGCCCUGGAACGGGCCGUCAUAGAGGGUGAGAAUCCCGUCUGGGAUGGGCGGCCGCGCCCGUGUGAAGCUCCUUCGACGAGUCGAGUUGUUUGGGAAUGCAGCUCUAAGCGGGUGGUAAAUUUCAUCUAAAGCUAAAUACUGGCCGGAGACCGAUAGCGCACAAGUAGAGUGAUCGAAAGAUGAAAAGCACUUUGAAAAGAGAGUUAAACAGCACGUGAAAUUGUUGAAAGGGAAGCGUUGUCCACCAGACUCGCCCGGGGGGGUUCAGCCGGCACGUGUGCCGGUGUACUCCUCUCCGGGCGGGCCAGCAUCGGUUUGGGCGGCUGGUGAAAGGCCCCGGGAAUGUACCACCCUCCGGGGUGUCUUAUAGCCCGGGGUGCCAUACAGCCAGCCUGGACCGAGGCCCGCGCUUCGGCGAGGAUGCUGGCGUAAUGGUGGUCAACGGCCCGUCUUGAAACACG